rnacentral:snRNA from 1 species
AUGUGCUCACUUCAGCACUAUAUAUGCUAAAAUUGGAAUGAUACAGUGAAGAUUAGCAUGGCUCUGGCACAAGGAUGACACACAAAUUCAUGAAGCAUUCUAUAUUUUU